rnacentral:lncRNA from 1 species
GCACAUUCACAGAAAAUGCAGCAGUUCUCUGCUCUGGCUGAUCGCUUCGCCUCCUGUUUGCAGGAUGGAAGAAACAGGUUUUAUUUGGAGAACUAUUGCAGGAAUAUACCAGGAAAGCCAGGAAAAUCCACAGACCCUUUGAAGGAACUGGAUCACCACCGCAGGUUCCCUGAGACACUAAAAAACUAUGCAGAAGCAGAUUCAGAGUAAAUAACUGAACAGCUCAAUGUCAAACCUUACUAUGGACUAGUUUGCUGUGAGUUACUGUCGUCAAGCAAAUAAAAUGCAUGUUAAGAAGUAUCCACACAAUUGGAACUCUCAUACAUUGUUGGUGAAAAUGUAAAACAGUACAACCACUUGGAAUAUGAUUUGUCAGUUUCUUAUAAAGUUAAGCACAUUCCUAUACAACCCAGUUAUUCUACUUCUAGAUAUUUGCCCAAGAGAAGUGAAAACACAUAUCGACAAGAUGACUUGUGUGCAAAUGUUUAUGGCAGCUUUAAUUGUAAUGAGAAAAAAACCUGGUAACAAUGCAAAUGUCCAUCAAUAGGUAAACAGAUAAACUGUAAUAUACUUACAUAAUGGAGUACAACUUAGCAAUGAAAAGGAAUGAACUACUUAUACAUACAAUAAUGUGAUGAAACUCAAAUACAUUAUGGUGAGUGAAAUAAGCUAGACAGAAUAAAAAUUAUACUGUUUAAUUACAUAUAUAUAUAAAAUUCUAGAAAGCAAAAUAAUAUAGAAAUGCAAAUUGAUCUAUAGUGAUAGCAAGGAGAACAAUGAGUGCCUGAGACUAGGGAUGGAAGGAGAAAUGGACUGCAAAGGGGUAUAAGGAAUCUCUGGGUGGGGAGGUGGAAAUAUUCUAUAUCUUCAUUAUUGUGGUGGCUUCACAUAUAUAUAUACACACACACACACGUAAGAAAAAUGUAUGGAAAUAUAUGCUUUAAAUGAGUAUAGUUUGUUGUAUGUAAAUAGUAACUCAAUAAAACUCUUUUUUUUUUUUCCAAUAUUUAAAAAGGGUUUCUAGGGGCCCAGCAUUUACUUUAAAUAUCAAUCCAUGAUAAUGGUAAAAUUGUGACAGGGCCAUUGGUGCUGUGAUGCAGGAUGAAAUUGACAAUUUUACUGGGGUUAAGGAGGAAAAGUAUUUUGCAUUAUGUAUUGCUUUUCAGAUAUCUGCUGCAAAGAAGUCCACAUCUUCUUAUGGGGGAGAAAGGCUUAUCUGUUGAAGGAAACAAGAAAACAAAAGAGGCAUUCUCUGUGAUGUAACCCGUGGUUCUGUCAAGUAGUGUCCAGUAUUUGCAUUUUAUACCUUUUGCUGUGGAUAUGGGAAGAUUAUAACUGAUAAAAGUGUCUUCCAGCCCGUGUGUUUCCUUUGCCCUCUGAUAAUAUUUAUGCACAUGAU